CUUAGACAUUUCUCCAGUUUUAGGUAAUAAAUAAUAAUUUUAUUAUUUUUAAAGUUGAUCCAAGUAAAUAUUAAACCAAGGCCUUAAAAAGAUAUUGCCACUUUUAUAAAUUAAACUUAUUACACGCUCCCCUCCUCCUCCUCGGCUGUCAGUCACAUAGCAGGUCCUGUGACUUCCUGGUUGUUUCGAGUGGUGGAGCUAAACUCGAGAGGCAGCAAUGAAUCUCUACAUGCUGCUAAUUUUUCC